AAAAAGACAAACACUGUGUUUCUGUGUCCAACGUUUAACUAUUCAUCUUAUAUAAUUUUUUUUAUAAUUAGUAUUUUUAUUGUUGGUAGAUGAUAAAAUAUGAUUAAUAUUUUACGUGUGACUUGACGGACGGUCAAACGCUGGACACGGAAAUCCAGGGUUUGUCUUUUU
rfam:Oryza sativa Japonica Group DNA, chromosome 8, cultivar: Nipponbare, complete sequence.